GAUGAACGCUGGCGGCGUGCCUAAUACAUGCAAGUCGAGCGAACGGACGGGAAGCUUGCUUCUCUGAUGUUAGCGGCGGACGGGUGAGUAACACGUGGAUAACCUACCUAUAAGACUGGGAUAACUUCGGGAAACCGGAGCUAAUACCGGAUAAUAUUUUGAACCGCAUGGUUCAAAAGUGAAAUACGGUCUUGCUGUCACUUAUAGAUGGAUCCGCGCUGCAUUAGCUGGUUGGUAAGUUAACGGCUUACCAAGGCAACGAUGCAUAGCCGACCUGAGAGGGUGAUAGGCCACCCUGGAAGUGAGACACGGUCCAGAGUCCUACGGGAGGCAGCAGUAGGGAACCUUCCGCAAUGGGCGAAAGCCUGACGGAGCAACGCCGAGUGAGUGAUGAAGGUCUUCGGAUCGUAAUACUGUGUUAUUAGGGAAGAACAUAUGUGUAAGUAACUGUGCACAUCUUGACGGUAACUAAUAAGAAAGCCCCGGCUAACUACGUG
rnacentral:rRNA from 1 species